rnacentral:lncRNA from 1 species
GUACCCGCGUAAUGCGCGGAUGAUAUUAAAAUAAUGUUUCUAAUCUUUUCAUUAUGGAAUGUGUGUUCAAAUCUGCUAAAUCAUACCACCUUUAGAAAAAAGUUCAGCUUUCAUUUUAUUUCUCAAUGAAAUGUGGAAAAAAGAAAUCUAUACUCCACCCACUUUCCAUUCCUACCCCCACCUCCGCGUCUAUAUCUAUAUCAACCCCCC